rnacentral:rRNA from 1 species
UGGGGAAUAUUGCACAAUGGGCGCAAGCCUGAUGCAGCCAUGCCGCGUGUAUGAAGAAGGCCUUCGGGUUGUAAAGUACUUUCAGCGGGGAGGAAGGUGUUGAGGUUAAUAACCUCAGCAAUUGACGUUACCCGCAGAAGAAGCACCGGCUAACUCCGUGCCAGCAGCCGCGGUAAUACGGAGGGUGCAAGCGUUAAUCGGAAUUACUGAGCGUAAAGCGCACGCAGGCGGUCUGUCAAGUCGGAUGUGAAAUCCCCGGGCUCAACCUGGGAACUGCAUUCGAAACUGGCAGGCUAGAGUCUUGUAGAGGGGGGUAGAAUUCCAGGUGUAGCGGUGAAAUGCGUAGAGAUCUGGAGGAAUACCGGUGGCGAAGGCGGCCCCCUGGACAAAGACUGACGCUCAGGUGCGAAAGCGUGGGGAGCAAACA